UACGUAGGGAGCAAGCGUUGUCCGGAAUCAUUGGGCGUAAAGAGCUCGUAGGCGGUCUGUCGCGUCCGCCGUGAAAGCCCACAGCUUAACUGUGGGUCUGCAGUGGAUACGGGCAGACUAGAGGCAGGUAGGGGAGAACGGAAUUCCCGGUGUAGCGGUGAAAUGCGCAGAUAUCGGGAGGAACACCGGUGGCGAAGGCGGUUCUCUGGGCCUGUACUGACGCUGAGGAGCGAAAGCGUGGGGAGCGAACAGG
rnacentral:rRNA from 1 species